CUUUCCCUCCAGACAGCCCUGUGGGCUGCCACCAAGGUGACUAACUCCUGCCCUGGCCACCUUUAGCUUUCUUCACUGCUUGGUUGAUGUUGGCGCCACUAGGCAUUUCCAGGAACGCACGCCUGGCACAGCUCCCAAGACAUCCUGAGUUCAAUUCCCAGCAACGCUCACAACCAUCUGCCAUGAGAUCGAAUGGCUUCUUCUGGUGUGUCUGAAGACAGCGACAGUGUACUCACAUAUAUAAAAUAAAUCUUAAAAAAAAAAGACUUCUUUAAGAAAUAUUAUCAUUAUUACCAUCAAAGUAUGCUGAGUUUAUUCCCAAUCUUUUUAAUUAAAAAUUUUAUUAUU
rnacentral:lncRNA from 1 species